CUCCUCUCAGAACCAAGAACAUCAUAGAACUUGUAAAUCUAUCUGAUCUGCCCUGAGAAACAAUUAUCCCCUUCUUUCUUUUGGCUGGGGCUAAUAGUAGAUGUUAGUGUUAAAUGUACGCUAACAGAUGAAAUUAAAAUGAAGAUUGAGUCAAUUGUUUGGGACAAGGGAAAAAGAAGUGAAGCUCUGCAAGUUGAUUAACAGAUUCCAGGGAACUGCGUGCAAUCAAUGAAGCAAAAUAGCAGCUGUGAUAGAAAUGUGGUAUUUUAGGGUUGCUCAGUGUUAAAUGCAAGAGUGACAGCCACAUUGCUGCUGAGGAUGACUCAUAUCUGCUCUUCUAUCAGAUGCUCUCCCUAAUGCUGAUGAGAGCCACAAGAUGCUUAUGCCAUAAAUCCACAGAGGGAAUGAAUGCUAUCUGCAAAAUCAGAGAUGAGAUGAGAAGGUGCAAGAUGAAAAUGCUCAUUCACAGAAUUUGGCCUGCUGUUCUUCAUUAACUUCACAUAGAAACACCUCUUCUCAGCCUAUCUGUGCUUACCUGGAGCUGAUUAUCAAAUCAGAACCGGAACCUACACAGCAUGUGGUGUAACACAUCAUAACAGCUAUAAAUUAUCAACAAAACUGAUGUUGAACCACGAAGAACAGUGAAUGUGGACCUACUUUAAAAUGGAUGUCCACGUCAUUUAUAAGUUGAGGACAAGUUCACUUGAAAGCAGUUAUCUCCAUCGGUGCACCAGUUCUUGUCUCUUGUUCUUAUCUGUUUCUUUUUCUUUUGAAAGAAGCACUCCACGGAUUUGUGGGAAUACUAGCAGUAAAAUCUUGCUAAUCUUUUGUUGACUUUGAAGUUCAUGUGGGAAUCCGGGAUUACACCAUCUCCCCAAAAAUGAUACUUCUGAAGAUACAAGGAAAUGAUAUAGAUUUUAGGUUUUGGCUCUUGCUCAAUUAAAAAAAUGGAAAACUCUACAAACUGUUCUUUUGCAACAAAUCUGUUUUCGCUGUCAAAAUACAAGAGCAAAAACAUUCUUGCCCUGAGGAGAACACAUGACAAUAUGGGAACUUCCAUCCAAAAUUACCCCAUUUAUACACCGCGGAGCUGUAAUCCUGAUGUGUAAGUGCUGAUAUUCAGAAAUACUACUCCUUCAUGUAUUCAAGAGUAAAACUGUGCACUCCCACAGCUUGCUUCUCUCUUUCUUUCCCUUCCCACCCUUCUCACAGCAUGAAAGCAACUCUGGAGAGCGCAUCACUGUCAAGUUCUAAGAGCAACCUCAAACAAGAGGCCAAAACAUAUUGUCACAUCUGCUAUAUCUUUUUUAAAAAAAAUUAUUUAAACAGUAACUCGUGGCAUAUUUGUCUCUCCUCAGAGAUUCUUGUACUUUUUAUAACAUAUUGCUCAGUCAAGUCAUAACUUUUGUGUUUAAAGAUGACAGAACACUCAUCUUGUCCACUUGAUAGAUGAAAAGCAAUGUGUUACUUUUCUAACAAACUUCCCUUUAUGUGUUUGAACUCACCUUCAGUUAAAUGAUAUUAAGUCUGGUAAAAGAGAGAAGCAAAUGCUAUUAGUUGAUCACUUAACUUGUAAUAAAGAGAAAAAUUAUUGCCUUGCAAACAAUAAUUCUCCACUUUUCUGUACUGAAGAGAUACUGCUCUGUGAAGAAUCAUUCUUGUCUAAAUAAAAUGACCUUUAUUGAUUUAAUUUAAAACUCUUUAUUGUCUCAGCUAAAGUGGAUCGAAUGGAACUGUUACAGCUCAGAGUUUAUCACAUCAUCAGAGCAUUAAUUUCCUAGCUGACUGCAUCUUGGUAUUACAAUAAAAAAUUAGUUUCAGAAGUUUUAUGAAGAAUGAACUUUAGUAGGACCAUUGAGAAAAGGCUUUCUUCCAUCACAGAAUCUCUAAAUGUAUACACCAUUUUUUCCAAAGAAGAAUACAUCUCUAAAAGUUGCAACCGUGGUACAUGUCUAACCACUGACAUCUGUGUUAGCUAUUAAAUGAGAAUACUUUUCCUUUAGUAGAACAUCUUGAGCUGUUGUAAAUCCGAUGCAGAUAAAAUUCCCAAGAAACUGGACUACAACAUCUGUGCUCUCCUGUGGAUUAUGACUUAUAUAAUAUUUUGGAAGGCACAUGCAGAGAGACACAGAAUUCUUUUGUAUAUUUCAUUGUUUUGUUUUGUCUAUUGUUGUCUCUGAUUUUCUCAGUAGUGUUUGUAAGAUAAAGCAAAUCUUAGUGUAGGUAAGUAGUGUUCACUGCUGCUCUCUGAUGGUAAGCUUGACUGUUGAUUGGUGAAAAUAAACUUUAAGCUAUGCAUCCA
ensembl:lncRNA